GAUGAACGCUGGCGGCGUGCCUAAUACAUGCAAGUCGAACGGAAAGGCGAUGCUCUUGCGGGGUGCUCGAGUGGCGAACGCGUGAGUAACACGCGUGUAACCUGCACUUGUCUUUGGGAUAUCUCUAGGAAACUGGGGCUCAUAUCCGAUAGGAGCUCCUGCUGCAUGGUGGGGGUUGGAAAGUUUCGGUGGUUGUGGAUGGACUGGCGGCUUACCAGCUUGCUGGUGGGGUAGUGGCUUACCAAGCGUUCGACGGAUAGCCGGCCUGAGAGGGUUGCCGGCCACAAUAGGACUAAGGGACGGAGCAGUCGCCAACGGGAGGCAGCAGGCGGAAGUAUGACGCAAUAAGCGGGAGCCUGAUACAGCGGCGCCGCGUGCGUAAUGACGGCCUACGAGUGAUGAACCGCUUUCGCCGGAGACAAAGCGGGAGUGACGGUAAUGAGUAAAGAAGCACCGGCUAACUACGUG
rnacentral:rRNA from 1 species